CUAGAGGCUGAUGAAGCGGCUCCUAUGUGGAAGGAGUGACCGGAGAACGAAGCCGGGUUGUAACCCAGUUUUGCCAGUAAGGUUCUGACGUGCGUUGUGAAUUUAGCAGUGGUGAGUGGGUGCCCUUGUAGUAAUAAGAGCGGAGAGUCUGGUAAGUGCGUGUGAUGAGUUGACCGUAGAUGGUCUAGUGCCUUAACCGGACACCAAGCAUUAUCU